GUGCUCGCUUUGGCAGCACACAUACUACGACUGGAGCGAAGCAGAGAAGAUCAGCGUGGCUCCUGCCCAAGUUUGACACGCAGAUUCGUGAAGUGCUCUAUAGUUUU
rnacentral:snRNA from 1 species